AGGAAAUCGAGUCAUAUGUUUGUUCAUAAAGAUGGUGGAGUUUAGAGCUAAACAAUUCUGAUUUUUAAAGUAGGGUCUUCUGUCAUAGCCUUCGGUCAUGGAAACUCCGAAGCCAUCCUUCUUCGGCCAGGGAUAGACGUGACCGUAGGCGACACCUAGACUCGAAAUUUUUACUUCUUCUGAUUAAUUCCUGCCCCAUCUCCUACAUCUGCGUCUACUCCCAAAAACAACCAAGGUAUGUUCUCGAAAUUAUCUUCAUAUUUGAAAUAUUUUUGAACCACCCUUGCUUAUUUUUGAUUUUGCUCAUACUUAGAGUCGCAUUGUGCUUCAUGUGUGACGAUUAGGUUGCUAUUAGUCAUUAUAAUCGCCCCCUUUUGUUGAUUACUUUUUUUGGAUUUUAAAUGUGGAAAUUUUUGAAUUUUCAAAGUGCAGGGCUCUUGAAUUUUGAGAAAAUCGAAAAAUUUGGAGGAAUUUGGGGAUUAUGGAUUCAAUUAGGGGUGGGCAAACGAGAAUUUGUCGGAAUGGGAUGCGGACGGAAAUUUUGGGAAUAAAAAAACAUAUCCCAUAUAUAUGUCCCAUUUAAAUACAGAACGUGAGCGGACUGGAGUGGGACGGGACGGGAUGUGAACGUAGAGGGUAAUCCUAGUUGAACGUGUAUAGUAUAGGUGGACUGCUAUAGAUACCCAUUUUUAAAAAAGGUAAGAACAAUAGAUACUUGAUAGUAUGUAAAAUGCACUUCAAAUGGGCUUAGAGAACGUAUGGCCCAUGUCUAGAACACAAAACUCAUUUCGUCUUUAAGAGACCAACAUGUGAGUGAGAUGUGUCCACUUAGACCUGAAAGAAUGAUUAAGGAAGCAACGACUAAGAGAAGAUGUGGACCGUCGAAGAGAAUCACUUACCUGGACGGGGUCGACUUGCGACCAAGAAGACGAGUGGCCUACAUUGCACAUAAAAGAAGGGUGCUUAGCUUAAUCCUUAAGGUCUCCUCAACUGUGAGAGCAUGCGUUAUUAUUUGUGGCAGAGGGGUCAUGCGUUAGCGCGGUCACUACCAUUAAUAGUUUUAGUUUUUUUUUUCCAUGUUUCCAUUUCUAAGUUUUAAGUUAUAAGGUAAUUGACUAAGUUCUUAUUUGGAAUGCCAAGUUUUGAAUAUGUUAAAGUUAUUAUUUUGGUAUACAGUCCUACAACGGAAAAUGCAUCAAGU